UGGGGAAUAUUGCGCAAUGGGGGAAACCCUGACGCAGCAACGCCGCGUGAGCGAUGAAGGCCUUCGGGUUGUAAAGCUCUGUCAGAUGGGAAGAAACCCCAUUACUCUAAUACAGUUAUGGAUUGACGGUACCAUCAAAGGAAGCACCGGCUAACUCCGUGCCAGCAGCCGCGGUAAUACGGAGGGUGCAAGCGUUGUUCGGAAUUACUGGGCGUAAAGGGCGCGUAGGCGGUAUAAUAAGUUAGGUGUGAAAUCUUCGGGCUUAACCCGAAAAGUGCACUUAAAACUGUUAUACUAGAGUUCGGGAGGGGAAAGCGGAAUUCCUAGUGUAGAGGUGAAAUUUGUAGAUAUUAGGAAGAACACCGGUGGCGAAGGCGGCUUUCUGGAACGAUACUGACGCUGAGGCGCGAAAGCGUGGGGAGCAAACAGG
rnacentral:rRNA from 1 species